rnacentral:piRNA from 1 species
UAGAACACUGUCCUUUCGUCCUGAGCAGC